rnacentral:lncRNA from 1 species
UAUAGAACGUAGGAAAUAAACGGAAAGAAUAAAAGAUGGCGGGAGAAACGGGCCAUUACGCCGCACAUGAAUGUAUUAGCUCAAUGGGCAACCAUUAAACACCCGCUGUGUCUGAGCUAGAUCCUGAUUGCUCAGGAGAAGUGCAGACAGGGGAACAGCUAUUCUCUAAAGUGCUGUUUUCAACAAUGCGUGUUAAGAGCAUUUACCCACAAUUGCUUCCUGUUCAAGCUCCUGUUUGUUGCUAUGUUCUGAGAAUGCACCUAAACACUGGAGGCCCUGAAAGAAGUGAAGGGGAAACUGGAGACAGCAUCCUCCCUGAA